rnacentral:rRNA from 1 species
UACAGAGGGGGCAAGCGUCGUUCGGAAUUACUGGGCGUAAAGCGCGCGUAGGCGGUAUGUAAAGUUGGAAGUGAAAUCCCGAAGCUUAACUUCGGAACUGCUUCCAAAACUCACAAACUAGAGAUCGGUAGAGGAUGGUAGAAUUCCUAGUGUAGAGGUGAAAUUCUUAGAUAUUAGGAGGAAUACCGGUUGCGAAGGCGGCCAUCUGGGCCGACUCUGACGCUAAGGCGCGAAAGCGUGGGGAGCAAACAGG